rnacentral:rRNA from 1 species
AGAGUUUGAUCCUGGCUCAGAACGAACGCUGGCGGCGUGCUUAACACAUGCAAGUCGAACGUGAUCCAGAGCUUGCUCUGGUGAAAGUGGCGCACGGGUGAGUAACGCGUGGAUAACCUGCCCUGGUAUCUGGGAUAACAUCUCGAAAGGGGUGCUAAUACCGGAUAAGCCUACGGGCUCUUCGGAGUCUGCAGGAAAAGGAGGCCUCUAUUUAUAAGCUUCCGUAUCAUGAUGGGUCCGCGUACCAUUAGCUAGUUGGUGGGGUAAUGGCCUACCAAGGCGACGAUGGUUAGCUGGUCUGAGAGGAUGAUCAGCCACACUGGAACUGAGACACGGUCCAGACUCCUACGGGAGGCAGCAGUGGGGAAUUUUGCGCAAUGGGGGAAACCCUGACGCAGCAACGCCGCGUGAGUGAUGAAGGCUUUCGGGUCGUAAAGCUCUGUCAGAGGGGAAGAAAUGAAACGUGCUAAUAUCACGUUUUCUUGACGGUACCCUCAAAGGAAGCACCGGCUAACUCCGUGCCAGCAGCCGCGGUAA